UGCAUUCUCUAGAGUUGCCUAUAAAUGAAAUCAGACAAUCGUACAAGCCGGCCUCUUUCAUGCAGCAUCAUUAUCUUGACAUGGCUGCAGGCUUUUGCAGAACUACAGCUGCACCCGGAGUGGUAGCUCACGCCUUUGAAAGGCCAAGGCGGUGGAUUGCUUAAGUCCAGGAGUUCGAGGCCAGCUGGGCAAUAGAGCGAGAUCACCUUUCUACAGAAAAUCAACAAUUGAGCCGGGCCGUGGUGGCGCGCCUGUAGUCCCCGCUACUCAGGAGGCUGAGGAGGAAGGAUCGCCUGAGCCCAAGAGGUAGAGACUGCCGAGAGCUGAGAUCGUGCAGCUGCACUCCCGCUUGGUCCUGAUGGCCAGAGCUCUAGCAGUCUUCUGUUGAAGAAUGUGUGGAGCCCAGAUUUCUGAUGACACUGUGGAGCUGGUAUACUGUCUGUGGAUUGCCUACCUUCAAAUUUUCUGUUACGUGAAGGACAAAUAAAACCAUAUAUUGUUUAAA